rnacentral:rRNA from 1 species
CCUACGGGUCGCACCAGUGGGGAAUAUUGCACAAUGGGCGCAAGCCAGAUGCAGCCAUGCCGCGUGUAUGAAGAAGGCCUUCGGGUUGUAAAGUACUUUCAGCGGGGAGGAAGGUGUUGUGGUUAAUAACCGCAGCAAUUGACAUUACCCGCAGAAGAAGCACCGGCUAACUCCCUGCCAGCAGCCGCGGUAAUACGGAGGGUGCAAGCGUUAAUCGGAAUUACUGGGCGUAAAGCGCACGCAGGCGGUCUGUCAAGUCGGAUGUGAAAUCCCCGGGCUCAACCUGGGAACUGCAUUCGAAACUGGCAGGCUAGAGUCUUGUAGAGGGGGGUAGAAUUCCAGGUGUAGCGGUGAAAUGCGUAGAGAUCUGGAGGAAUACCGGUGGCGAAGGCGGCCCCUUGGACAAAGACUGACGCUCAGGUGCGAAAGCGUGGGGAGCAAACAGGAUUAGAUACCCUCGUAGUC